rnacentral:lncRNA from 1 species
AAAGAGUGUCGCUUCAGGCUUGAAAUGUCUCCCACGCUUUUUCAACACUACAUCUGUCUGUUUUAAUUUGUAUAUUGUAACACCUUGUUGCUAAUGUGAUGACUUUUUACAGAUACCUGAUGCCAUCAACGUGUUUGUCGAAAUUCCUAUACUUGUGUGCCCAAGAGUUGUUCUGCUUCAGAGGAAAAAGUCUCAGCAUUAAGAUACAUUUCGAGGAAACUAUUUUGGUACGUCCAGAUAAAAUUUUGACAUUCAACAAGGUACCAUUGUUUUCUGAAAAUAAUCUUUGAAUCUCUUUUGUUUUCUCACAAGAUUGAGAUUAAAGAGCAAGGGGAUCGUGAAAUUACUUGAGAUUAAGAGGAAUCUACACUUUUCUAGAGAGUGAAGUAGCUUCAUCGAAAAUCAAUGUUGAAAUGAGUUCAUGGUUGCACUUGACACUUCUCUAAAAAGAUGUUGCCAUCUUUCUUUGUUUUCUUUUAAGAAAGUUACAUCGUAGUUCACAUAGGAAGUAGUUGAUAAUCAACUGAUGUUACUGAAAAAUAAAUUUGGGGAGCUGAGAAAACUAUAUAUUGCUACUUGAUGCAUCUACGAGUAGAUUUUUCGGGUCCUUUAUGUAUAUAAUUUAGCGGCUUAUGAUGCUCCAUUUUGAUAAUAUUAUCUAUCAUAUCCCGAAGAUUCACAUAAGAUAUUAUGACCAACAAUGAAUUGUUCGGACAUUCAAAUUAAUGGAACUCCAAGUUCCUUUGUCAUCAACUAUAAAAAGAAAGGGGAAAAAGUUUUAAAAUGUAUUAUGUGUGAUAUCUUUUUCAAUUAGUAAUUUUCAACAGAAAAAAGGGAAGAUAAAUCUUUAUAUGUUUGAGACUUCUGCUUUGAGUUGAUUUAUUUUUCCUCUGAGAUUUUUCAACUUCCAGGUGAUUUAUUGAGGAAGAAGUUGUGAAUUGUUUAAUGUUUCCAUGACAUUAAAGUUGAAAUUUCAGGUAAGUUUUCACUGUCAUCUUUCUGUUGUUUGUAUCACAUUUCAAGAAAAUGCAACCAUUAAUUUAGUAAUUUGAAGAAAAGUGACAAGAAAACACGUUGAAGUUGCAAAAUCAGAAUAACAACCAGGCCAAAUUAUACCGAAGGAUUGAUUUCACAUUCUCCAAUUUCCAAGCCUUCAAGUAUAAUUCCACAUUCUUUCAGAACCUUCAAAUUUAGGUUGAUUUUUGUUGAAAAAAAUUCAAUUCUCAAGUUUAUGUAUUGAUAAGGAACAGUGACUGAUUUUGGCGAAGUGUUUGUAUUGAGCAGUUGUACUUGGAUUGGAUAAAAGUUGCGAUUGUAAUAUCGGAACACAAAACUUAGAGAACACAUCACCUCUAAAUUAAGUUCUUGCAGUAAAUCGGAUAUUUAUCUGAAUUGAAUAUUAUUUAGGAUUUUUCAUAGGAUAGUUGGAAGCAAUAACUUAACAUCAUUAUUGUUAUCAUGCUCCUAAUAAUGAAAACAAUGGAAUUGAAAGGAUGAUCAUAUAAGUAUAAGAUGAACGAUGACCCUUAAGAUGUGAUCUUAGGUUACAACACAUUAUAUAAUGGAUAAAGUAGACUAUAUGCUUAUAUAAUAUCAUGAGAUAAGACUAAACUCUAUUUUAAAGUCCCUAUAAUGUCAAGCUUUUCCAUCUGAAUGUAAAUUUUUUUAAUGGAGGUAUAAUGAGUGAUUGUUUUAGGACCAUCAAAUUGGAUGCAAGUAGAAUUAUUUUUGUAGUCUAUUUCAGUAAAUUUAGAAUACAUUUUAAUUGCAUUACGUAAUCCUUGAAAUCUUUAAACUCAACUGUGACAUUCUUGCAAGGCUUUGGGCAUAGCUAUAUAUUUUCGAAUCUUUAAAGAUGAAAAUAGAGGGUCUAUGCGGUUGCAUACAACUUUGCUUGAGUAAGGCAUAGGGCAGAAUGAGCUGUAUUAUUUUCAGUAAGGUAAGAGAUGGACUCCUACUAGGAGGCAAAGUAUGCCUUAUAUUAUCUGGAGCAAACACCCUUUCAUCUCAUGUAGAAGCAUUUAUGCGAGUUGUAGCAUGUACUCAUAUUCUUCAAGGAUAUGGUCAUACUGAAACAUGUGUUGGUACAUUUGUGUCGCUACCCAACCAGUUUCAUAUACUCGGUACGGUUGGUCCUCCGGUGCCCAAUAUGAAUGUGUGCUUGGUGUAGCUGCGCUGUUCCUGAAAUGGAAUAUGAUGCUGUUUCAAGCACACCUAUGCGUGAGGGGAGACACUCUGUUUUGUUACUACAAGCGUGAAAGAAGUCACGAUUAAUGGAUGGUUGGUUCCAUACAGAGGAUAUUGGUGAGAGGCAACCAAAUGGUAGCUUGAAGAUAAUUGAUCGCAGGAAGAAUAUUUUGAAGCUAUAGCAAGGAGAAUAUGUUGCAGUCAAAAAUUUGGAGAAUGUAUUCCUGUUAUUGAUUCGGUAUGGAUAUAUGGGAGCAACUUUGAGUCUGCGGUUGUUAAUCCAAGUAAACAACAGGUUGAAAAAUGGGCCAAACAGAAUGGUCUUUCUGGGGAUUUUAAUUCCAAUUAAAAGGUGAAAGAGCACAUACUAGGGGAGCUUACUAAAGCUGGAAAAGAAAAGAAGUUGAAAGGGAUUUAAGUUCAUAAAGGCUCUACACCUUUAUCCAGUUCCAUUUAACAUGGAACGUGACACUAACAUUUAACAAGAAAAGAACACAAUUGUUUAAAUACUACAAGGAUGUGAUUGACACCAUGUACAAGGAUGCUAAAUGAACUUGCAAGGCUUGAAAUUAGCACCUUUUCUUUUUAACUACACCUCCCUCUUUUUUUGUUUUAGUACUGUACAUAUCACUCAAAUAAUAUGAGAUUGUUAUUAAUUAAAUUAUCUUUCUAUUUUUACUUGAAUUUAUCUAUUUACAAUCUAAUUAAAUAUUAUUUUUUUCUUAGGUAUGAGCGUAUUGAACUUUCAAAGGUAUAUUUCUUUGAACCUUUUUUAAUGUUUUAUUUUAUAAUUUUUACUUAACCAUCAUUUAUUUUAUAUAUAUAGAAAAAGAAUGUGAACGUCACUAAGGGUUUUGAUCCUCAAGUGCCAAAAAGUUCAAAAAGUCAUAAACCAAGGGUAUGUGAUGAUAAAUUAUUAUUAUUAUUAUUAUUAUUAUUAUUAUUAUUAUUAUUAUUAUUAUUAUUAUUAUUAUUAUUAUUAUUAUUAUUAUUAUUAUUAUUAUUAUUAUUAUUAUUAUUAUUAUUAUUAUUAUUAUUAUUAUUAUUAUUAUUAUUAUUAUUAUUAUUAUUAUUAUUAUUAUUAUUAUUAUUAUUAUUAUUAUUAUUAUUAUUAUUAUUAUUAUUAUUAUUAUUAUUAUUAUUAUUAUUAUUAUUAUUAUUAUUAUUAUUAUUAUUAUUAUUAUUAUUAUUAUUAUUAUUAUUAUUAUUAUUAUUAUUAUUAUUAUUAUUAUUAUUAUUAUUAUUAUUAUUAUUAUUAUUAUUAUUAUUAUUAUUAUUAUUAUUAUUAUUAUUAUUAUUAUUAUUAUUAUUAUUAUUAUUAUUAUUAUUAUUAUUAUUAUUAUUAUUAUUAUUAUUAUUAUUAUUAUUAUUAUUAUUAUUAUUAUUAUUAUUAUUAUUAUUAUUAUUAUUAUUAUUAUUAUUAUUAUUAUUAUUAUUAUUAUUAUUAUUAUUAUUAUUAUUAUUAUUAUUAUUAUUAUUAUUAUUAUUAUUAUUAUUAUUAUUAUUAUUAUUAUUAUUAUUAUUAUUAUUAUUAUUAUUAUUAUUAUUAUUAUUAUUAUUAUUAUUAUUAUUAUUAUUAUUAUUAUUAUUAUUAUUAUUAUUAUUAUUAUUAUUAUUAUUAUUAUUAUUAUUAUUAUUAUUAUUAUUAUUAUUAUUAUUAUUAUUAUUAUUAUUAUUAUUAUUAUUAUUAUUAUUAUUAUUAUUAUUAUUAUUAUUAUUAUUAUUAUUAUUAUUAUUAUUAUUAUUAUUAUUAUUAUUAUUAUUAUUAUUAUUAUUAUUAUUAUUAUUAUUAUUAUUAUUAUUAUUAUUAUUAUUAUUAUUAUUAUUAUUAUUAUUAUUGUUGUUGUUGUUGUUGUUGUUGUUGUUGUUAUUACUACGUAAAUAAAUGCAGGCUCGCUAUCCAUAUGGUAGAAUGCCAAUAAUGCAUUCUUGUUCUAAUGUAAGUGUAUAUUUUAUCCCUAAUUUAUUUUUUGUAUUUUAAAUGGGCUUAUAUUUAAAUAAAAUUAAUUUUCAAUAGAUUUGUAUAUAGUGUUUCUAAACUGAUACAAUUGUAUAUUAUUUUUAAUUUAAAUGAUAUUACUAUAGAGAGGAGUUGUUGAGCAAGAAAAUGGACAUGGAAAGAGGGAGCAUCCAUGGCUGACCAGGUAAUAUUCUUAUUUAUGAUAAAAAAAAUUGAAAAUAUUUCUUAAGAUUUAAAACCGAUUUAUUUAUUUUUUAAAACAAAUUUUCCAAAAAUAUAUUUGAACCUUACAUAAAUAUGUAUUUUUAGUAAUUAUUUGACAACUUGUGAAAUAAAAUGAAUUACAAAAGAAAAUAAUCGUGAAUUCAAUUUGUAAGACACUACAAUAAUGCAUUUGUGCAAAUACUAAUAAUAAUUAUUGAUUUCAAAUGUAGUCCUAAUCCUAUUAACAACUGAUUGUACCAUCCAAGCUUUGCUGCCAAAGGUCUAUCAGUGGACCCUUACUUGCGUAUGCUUAAGGAGAAUUCAGACUUUCGUAAGUUAACAAUUUUAAAUAUAAUUAUAAACCAAAUUAAAGAAUAUUGUUGUAUGGUUCUUAAUUAUAUUUAAUUUUUAUUCUUACCAGUUAAAAUUGCAAGCAAGUUUGAGGUUGAUAGUAAGAAUAAAGUGGUGAUGGAUUUGAACAAAUGAGGAAUAUUGUGUUGGUGCUAGACACUAUAUCUUAGUAGUGCAAAUUAUGUUAUUGAAUAAAUUCUCCAAGAAUAUUGUGGAACAUUCUGAAUGUUCUUGGUAUUAUUUUUUCAUUUAGUCAUUUAAGUUUCAUAGGUAGAGAAGUGUUGAACUUCUUUAUUCAAGUUUGGAUUUUGCACUUUCAAUUUGUUGUCAAUUUAAAAUAAUCUAAGCUGUAUUUCUAGGUAAAACUCUUCGUGUUUAAAUACAAACAUCAUAUUUCUUAUUUCAAACAUCCUUUGUUAUGAUUUACUUUA